UGGAUGAGGGCAAGAUUUCACACACCAAUAGAGAUUUGUGCAGUGAUGGCUCAUGCUUGGCUUUUGCAGCUGCGCUUGCAGAGGAAUUGGCCAGGAGCCCCAGCCACAGGAGAAGCUGAUACAAGUGGACCUGAGCAACCUGGACAUCCUUCUAAGCAGAUAUGAACAGUCCUCAGGUUUCCGCCUCCCAGAUAAUUGGUUCUGAGUAAGAGAUUGCAGGAGAGCUUGCAGCAGAAGGCGAGUCCAGGUGGAUGCAGAGGACGCGGGCUUUGUCUUGGCUGAGUGCGUGAGUGAGGAGGGCACGGGACAGCUAGUAGGGCAAACCCAGAACCCUCUCAAGAGGCUGGUUUCUAGAACUACCUUCCAAAUGGCAGUGUUACCUAUUGUGAAAGACAGGGAAAGACCCACACCCUAGUUAGAGGGCGCUCACUUUGGACCUUGGAGUGAAGAGGGCCAAUGUAGGGAGGAGAAAAGGGAAAGCGACCUGAACCCUGAUUACAGGGCAGUCACCCUUUUUUUAGUAAAAUAUACCUCCUUUACACUGUUGGGGUGGGGGAGUCCUGAAUGUGAAAAGAUCUGGAAAUGAACAGGUAAGAGAGGGAUCCUGCUGAGUGGCCCCUUUCCAAUCAAUCCUCCAUCCCUCAGCGACACCCUUCCCGACUUACCUCCGACCCCACCAAGAAAAUGACAACUUUGUGCCCCCUGCCUUUACCA